rnacentral:rRNA from 1 species
GACGAACGCUGGCGGCGUGCUUAACACAUGCAAGUCGAACGGUAAGGCCCUUCGGGGUACACGAGUGGCGAACGGGUGAGUAACACGUGGGUGAUCUGCCCUGCACUUCGGGAUAAGCCUGGGAAACUGGGUCUAAUACCGGAUAGGACUCCUGGCUUCAUGGUUGGGGGUGGAAAGCUUUUGCGGUGUGGGAUGGGCCCGCGGCCUAUCAGCUUGUUGGUGGGGUAAUGGCCUACCAAGGCGACGACGGGUAGCCGGCCUGAGAGGGUGACCGGUCACACUGGGACUGAGAUACGGCCCAGGAUCCUACGGGAGGCAGCAGUGGGGAAUAUUGCACAAUGGGCGCAAGCCUGAUGCAGCGACGCCGCGUGAGGGAUGACGGCCUUCGGGUUGUAAACCUCUUUCAGCUAUGACGAAGCGCAAGUGACGGUAGUAGCAGAAGAAGGACCGGCCAACUACGUGCCAGCCGCCGCAGUAA